rnacentral:tRNA from 1 species
UCCCUGGCAGUCCAGUGGUUAGGACUCUGCACUCUGACUGCCAGAGACCCAAGUUCAAUCCCUGUUCAGGGAA